rnacentral:ncRNA from 2 species
CCCGUACGCUGGGGGUGCCCGCCGGAACGUUGUUCGUAUAUCAGCGGGCUGAGAUAUACCCUUUGCACCUGAUCCGGACAAUACCGGCGGAGGAAAGCUGCGGUGGACGCAA